UACAGAGGGUGCAAGCGUUAAUCGGAAUUACUGGGCGUAAAGCGUGCGUAGACGGUUGCGUAAGUCAGAUGUGAAAGCCCCGGGCUCAACCUGGGAAUUGCAUUUGAGACUGCGUAGCUAGGGUGCGGAAGAGGGAAGCGGAAUUUCCGGUGUAGCGGUGAAAUGCGUAGAUAUCGGAAGGAACACCAGUGGCGAAAGCGGCUUCCUGGUCCAGCACCGACGUUCAGGCACGAAAGCGUGGGGAGCAAACGGG
rnacentral:rRNA from 1 species